CCCUUAGAUGCCCUGGGCCGCACGCGCGCUACACUGAUGCAUUCAACGAGCCUAUCCUUGACCGACAGGUCCGGGUAAUCUUUGAAUCUGCAUCGUGACGGGGAUAGAUUAUUGCAAUUAUUAAUCUUCAACGAGGAAUGCCUAGUAGGCGCAAGUCAUCAGCUUGCGUCGAUUACGUCCCUGCCCUUUGUACACACCGCCCGUCGCUCCUACCGAUUGGGUGUGCUGGUGAAAUGUUCGGAUCGGCCGUUUGUCGCGGUUUCCGCGUCAUGUGGCUGAGAAGUUCAUUAAACCCUCCCACCUAGAGGAAGGAGAAGUCGUAACA
rnacentral:rRNA from 1 species